UACGGAGGAUGCAAGCGUUAUCCGGAAUGAUUGGGCGUAAAGCGUCCGCAGGUGGCUAUUCAAGUCUGCGGUCAAAGACUGGGGCUUAACCCUGGAAAGGCCGUGGAAACUGAAGAGCUAGAGUGCAGUAGGGGUAGAGGGAAUUCCCGGUGUAGCGGUGAAAUGCGUAGAGCUCGGGAAGAACAUCGGUGGCGAAGGCGGGUCUCUGGGCAGUAACUGACGCUGAGGAGCGGAAGCGUGGGGAGCGAACAGG
rnacentral:rRNA from 1 species